CGUAGGGUGCGAGCGUAAUCGGAAUUACUGGGCGUAAAGCGUGCGCAGGCGGUUUUGUAAGACAGGCGUGAAAUCCCCGGGCUCAACCUGGGAACUGCGCUUGUGACUGCAAGGCUAGAGUACGGCAGAGGGGGGUGGAAUUCCACGUGUAGCAGUGAAAUGCGUAGAGAUGUGGAGGAACACCAAUGGCGAAGGCAGCCCCCUGGGUCGAUACUGACGCUCAUGCACGAAAGCGUGGGUAGCAAACAGGAUUAGAUACCCUGGUAGUCCACGCCCUAAACGAUGUCAACUAGGUGUUGGGUGGGUAAAACCAUUUAGUACCGGAGCUAACGCGUGAAGUUGACCGCCUGGGGAGUACGGCCGCAAGGUUA
rnacentral:rRNA from 1 species